rnacentral:rRNA from 1 species
UACGGAGGAUCCAAGCGUUAUCCGGAUUUAUUGGGUUUAAAGGGUGCGUAGGCGGCCUAUUAAGUCAGGGUGAAGACGGUAGCUCAACUAUCGCAGUGCCUUUGAUACUGAUGGCUUGAAUAUACUAGAGGUAGCGGAAUGUGACAAGUAGCGGUGAAAUGCAUAGAUAUGUCACAGAACACCGAUUGCGAAGGCAGCUUACUAUGGUAUUAUUGACGCUGAGGCACGAAAGCGUGGGGAUCAAACAGG